ensembl:lncRNA
GGCUAUAAUAUCAUGGUGACUGAAGGAGGCUGUUUUUCUGAUACACGGUUGACCUGUUUCAUCAUAUAUAUUUAAAUUACUGGCAGCAGGUGGUGAGCUGGGCAAGGCAGUGUGAGGGGAGGGUUGGAGGGGGAAGUGUCUAGAGGUGAUUUGAUUACCAGUGUGCUAACCUAAAAAGCUAUUUUUUUUUUUAAUAAUAAUAAUAAUAAUAAUGUGGAACAUGUAGUAUUAUUGUGUUGACUCUUGUCUAAUUUUUCUUCUUCUAAUUGUCAGGGUUGUCAGUGUGUAGGUUUACUGGGAUAAUCCUCAGGCUAAGUGGACCCUGCUGCUGGCUGGUCACAUAAGUACAGUACGAUCGUCAUAGCUAAUUUUUCUAUUUUUGAAAGGGGUGGGGAUAGAGCGGGGAAGAAACAACCAUAGUUUCCUUCACAGGUCUCCCCUUUGCCUCUCUCUCCCUCUCCCUCUCUCCCUCUCUUUAUCUUUCUCUACCCAUAGAUGCCCCACUGAAUCCCUGAGAGGUAAGGGAUGAAAGCCUCCGGUUGGCAGUGAUGCCUCCUGUUUCAAACCGACAGCCCUGUCUUUCAUCUGCCAAACCUGACCUGCUGCUACCGACAGCCUUCCUUCUCCUCUCCCUUCACUCUGUGCUCUUACCACAUCUUAUCACCUUAUCUCUGGCAGCUCCAACAACUCCUCCAUCAGUGUGGUUUCAGAGAAACGUCAUGUCAGAAAGCAUCUGAAGAGAUAACCCAGCAAACGGGAUCAUUGUCUUCAGAAUGGAGAUUAGUGAUCUGACAACAGCUAAACAGCCAAAACUAAUAUUACUGUGAGGUUAUACCAUACAAUCAAAGAAAACCUCAGCAGUAUCCAGAUGCUUAUUUGACAGGCACAUUUUGUUUGGUUCCACUAGUCUCUCAGUAACAACACUGACGUCAGCUUUGCUUCAUGGUGUGGUUGUGUAGCACUUGUGGUUAGUCACACUCCCUGCGUGUGUGCCCAGCGCCACCACAACAGAGCCAUGGAUGUACCCAGCUACCUCUAUUUUAAGUUUAAACAUGCAACAGCUUAAUCCACACUCUUCUCCCCAGCUGUAAGGUACCAUUAUACAGGAUCUGCAGACAGAGUGCAAAGAGCAGUCUAAUCUUCACACCAAAGAACACCUGUCACUUAUUGCAUGCUGACACACUGGGGCUUUCAUUACUUUCUCAUAUAGUACAAACUUUAUAACAUCCUCAGGUCCCCCUACUGGAAGUCGAAGUAGGGGGGGGUGGGGAAAUCUAUCAAAUAGCGCACCUUUUACUAAUACAAUCACUAAAACCAGUCACACUAUAAAAGGCUAGCAAAUUAACUGUAAUUCAUUCAUAAAACUGUGAAUUGCAAGCUAGUCAAGAAGAAUGCACAGUGAGACAAAGACCUCAGUUUUAAUGCAGCACCCGUGCCCCAUACACUGCGUGACCCCAGGAUGUUGCCAGCGGGCGGCCAACAGCCGUGGACAGCAGGUGCUCUCCCGUAGCGGCACUCCUGGACUCUGAGGAGCGAGGAGGAUGCUGUAUGCAGGAACCAUCAGGGCAGGCCAGGAAAUCUCCAUCUCAAGGAAGCUCCAUCUUCUGCCAGGUCCGGCCCUCCAAGCGACAGUGCGUGUGUCCAAUGGCGUGCUCCAGUUCCUGGAUCGCUCCCUUCGUUCUUUGGCGCGGCGCUCAUCCCACUUCUGACACCAGUGUGACGAGCUGGCCAGGAAGAAUGUGCAGCGAGACAGAGACACACACUAUGCCUGUCAGCAGGGGCACUGGGGGCGGGGAGAGUUCGCCCAGGGCACCAUAUAAGCUAGAACCGCCACUACCCAGUGAGUUGAACAAAAGGGGGCUCAUUGAUUUGUGAAUACCCUUCUGAUGUUGUAGCCUACCACAGACUUACGGGUGAAAGGCCACACACUAAUUCCAGUUUGCAGGAUGACUCACCAGCCCUUUUGACUGAAGGGUGAGACGAGAUGGGAGAAAUUACAUUUUGCAAAGGGAGGGGGAGACGGGGGAGGCCUGUGCACACAAUGAACAACAAUGAUAGUGAGCAACCUAGAAUGAAUCACAAGGCAAAACAAAUUAUUAAAAGGAAGCAUAACAAUAUUUAUUUUCAAAGAUUAAGACC